rnacentral:rRNA from 1 species
AACUAACGCUGGCGGCGCGUCUUAAACAUGCAAGUCAAACGGAUGUAGCAAUACAUCAGUGGCGAACGGGUGAGUAACACGUAGGUAAUCUACCCUCGAGUUGGGGAUAACCUACCGAAAGGUAGGCUAGUAUCGAAUAGUAUCAUGAUAGUGAGAGCUGAUAUGAUUAAAGGAGCGAUUUGCUCGAGGAUGAGCCUGCGGCUGAUUAGCUAGUUGGUGAGGUAAGAGCUCACCAAGGCGACGAUCAGUAGCCGGCCUGAGCGGGUGAACGGCCACAUUGGGACUGAGACACGGUCCAGACUCCUAAGGGAGGCAGCAGUUAAGAAUCUUGCUCAAUGGGGGAAACCCUGAAGCAGCGACGCCGCGUGAAUGAUGAAGGUCUUCGGAUUGUAAAGUUCAAUAAGGAGGGAAAAAUAAGCAGUGAUGUGAUGAUUGUACCUCCCUAAAGCACCGGCUAACUACGUGCCAGCAGCCGCCGUAA